UCAGUUUCAUUAUUAGAGCAGAGCAACAGGCUUGGGCUUUACUUCUCUCUUCUAUUGCAUUUUGGCAGUAACAGCUGAGAAGUAGAGGUUUUGGGGCUGAAGGAAACCAACUGACGCUGCAAACAAAGAUGGGGAGUGAACAGAGCAUCCUUCAGAAGAAAGGCUACAAAAUUGACAGAGAAACAGAACAUGGAGUUGUAGUCACAAAGACUGAUGACCCAUUUCUGAUCAGAAAGAUCAGUUUGGCACAGGUGGCUGCAGAAACUAAGGCAGAUUUACUGAACGAGAUAGAAAUCCUCAAGACAACAAAACAUCCACAUAUUGUGAGCAGUGAGAAUUCUUUUGAAGAUGGACCCACUUACUACAUAGUGAUGGACUACUGUCAAGGAGGGAGCCUUGCUGAAAAGAUCAAAGAGAAGAGGGAACCG